GAAAGACUGAAGAAAAUGAAAGCAUCUUCUGUAACGUCCUUCCUUGUAACUCCAGCAUACUGUGUCUGGUUACUGAAUUGCAGUGAGUCUCAUUUUAGAAGCAUUAAAAAAAUUUCCUCCUGUAAAGUAGGGUUCCUUACAUUUAGAUGACACUACUGCUUGUUUUGGCAACAGUGCUGGUUUGGCGUUGUUAGGUUAAAGGCCACCUCGUGAGAGCAGCUCUGUGGGUGCGAGGAGCUGCCUGGGCCUCUCCUAAACCAAAGGGUAUUUUCCAUCUUACCUUACGCCGUGUCCACAGGACCCUUCAGCAGCAAGUCCAACCCCAGUGCAGUUUCUCCAUCCCAGGCCCCUUUAAAAACAAGAAGCCUUCUCUCAAGGAUUCUUAAGAUAUGUAAGCAAGGCAAAAUGUGUUUUUUUUUUUUUUUUAAUAUAUACACUUUUUGAACCAUUUGGAAAGAAAAACAGUAUUAGUGACUCAGGUGCACUUCAUAUAUCUGUCUAGAAAGGAAGGAAAAUCAAAAGGGAAAUCCAUUGUGAGGGGAAGGCAGAGCUUUAUCUAUUUUCUCCUUAUGUAUAGGAUUGCUCGGCAAUAGAGGGAGUGCAGGUACCAG
rnacentral:lncRNA from 1 species